GGAAUGCUUCCUGUUGACAUUAUAAAAUUAAUAAAUGAAAGAUAGUAUUGAAGAGCGCUAUCACUCAGAUGGGAUAUAAAAGAGUAUGGGAUGCCAUCAAAUCCAGGAGUAGAAUCUACAGUAUUCUGGACAACACCUUUUAAUUCGUCAAUGUGAAAUGGAAAUAAGUCAUCAGCGGCGGUACAAAGAAUUUGUGCUAAAGCUUCAGCACACAUCUGUUCCUUGCCAUUGGUGACCUCGGAAGAGAAGAAAGCUGACUGUCUACCUUUUUACUAAAUUUCGUCCAGAGUUCACUGCAUUUAUUUGGCAGUUUAUAUUUUAAAAGAGGCUUUUUUGGUGGCACAUUGCUGUAUGGAGAAGGAAAUGUGAUUUUAAUUGGGAAAUGAUCACUGCCAAAUGAAGAGGAUAAAGUAGACCAAGUAAGAAAAGAUGCAAAGUUUGGGGUGCAAAUAGAUAGAUCUAAUGCACUCUGAUUGGUGUUGUUAGGAGUGUUACGACGAGUAGGUGUGCCUGAAUUUAAUACACAUAGGUUGUGCAUAUCUAAUAUCUCCAGAAGCUCUUCACCAUACUGAUUAGAUAUAGAGCUACCCCAAGAUUGAUGAUGACAAUUGAAAUCUCCCAACAACAGGAAAUGUUGGGGAAGAAAGGAUAUAAGGUUAUUAAUUUCAUGAAGUAAAGGAAGUGAAGGGUGAGAGAUAUAAACAGAAACAAGACAAAUGUUAUUGACAUUUAGAGCCACUAUAGAUAUUUCAUCGCUAUGUGAAGGAAGAGAAAUUACUGAAUAUGGCACUGAGUCUUUAAUGAGUAUGGCAGCACCACCAUACCCAUCUUGUCUAUCUUCUCUGAUUAUACUAUAACCAUUAAUUUUGAAGGUAUAGUUUGGUUUGAGCCAUGUCUCAGAAAGAGCAAAAGCCCAUGGCUCAUAUUUAUUAAUUAAAUAAAUUAAUUCACUUUUUUUAUUGGUUAUACUGCGGCAAUUCCAUUGUAUUAUUAGAUUCAGAUUGUCCAUUUUGGGAAAGAGAUGAGGAAAGACUAUUUAAAAGAGGAGCAACGUUGGACGGUGAUAAAUUAAAAUGUGUAAUAAUAGUAAUCAAUGCUGAAAUAAGUUCUUUUACAUUAAACUGUUUAGGCUGGGGAUCUUGUGUAUUAUUAUUAAGAGCACAUCCAUUGGUGGGUUCAGGAAUUUUAAAAUCUUUCAAUAUAUUAUUAUGUGCUUCUUUGUUGUAUCCCUUAGUAGGAGUGACUGGCGAGUAUGGUUUCCGGAAAAUAGUUUUUUUAUAACUGCUAAACUGUUGCUGCCUCAAGACAACAGGUUCGGGAACACUUGGAUCAUGAGACGGUCGGGAAAUAAGAGUGUCUGCAAAAGAUUUGGAAACUGGUGGAAAAUGUUUACUGGCUUCAGCAUAAGAAAUUGAACUCUGAGCCAUAUGCGACUUAAUUUGUUUUUGGCGUUCAUACUCAGGACAUAAUUUGCUAGUAGCAUAAUGAUAUCCAGAACAUAAGCAACAGGAAGCACUUCCCUCAGCUAUAUCACAACAUUCAGCAGUAUGAUUGUCUCCACACUUAUAGCAGCGGGGUUUAGAUCUGCAUUGAGUUUUUGUGUGACCAAACCGACAGCAAUUAAAACAUUGUAUUGUAGGAUAGAUGUAAAGGUCCACAGGCAGUGCAUUGUAACAAAUAAAAAUUCUUUUUGGUAGAACUUGCCCAUCAAAUGUUAAAACAACUGUUUGGGAAGGUUUCCACACAGUUGAGCCUUCAAUAAUAGCUUUGAAAUUUAAACGCCUCACUUUUAAAAUAGGCCCACAGCCAAUGGGAACAGAGGUGUUCUCCAAAACCUCCUCUGGAGACCAUUCGGCAGGAACUCCACGUACCAACCCCAUACGAGUUACAUUAAAUGUUGGGAUAAAUGCCUUUAAAUUAGAUUUAUUAAGACUUUCAUGACAAAUAAAAGAAUUGGCAUCAAUAUGAGAAGAAAAA
rnacentral:lncRNA from 1 species